UCCCUCAUACCUUCCUCCCCCUUCCUCCCCACGAGCUGCUGCUCCUCCUUAGCUCCAUGGCCGGCCAUGACCAUGGAAAGGCACCAAGAUGAAGCUCCCCUCCUUCCUCAAGCUUCCCCUCACCAUGAGAGCAUCUCUCUCACUCUCUUCUCCCCUAAUCUUUGAUGAGUCCAGCUCACUUUCUCCUUUCUCCUCUCACUAGAUUGGAUCUUGAUGCAGGUGCAUGUUGGUCCAAGCAUGGAGAAGGUUGAGCUAUCCUCAGAUCUGAAGUUCUUGAGCAAAAUCCAAAUCGAGUGAUUCAAAGUUCCACAGAUAGGUACUGAAAAGAUCUACAACUUGGCGUUGGUCUCAUCCUCAAAUUCGUUACGGAUUUUUCAUGAUCAAGAUCUGGUCAGAUCUGGAUUUGUCGAAUUAAACCAGGAGCUUGGAAAAGAAUUUUUGGAUGAAACCAACUGGAUACGAACGAUUCUGGAGAAGAAGAGGAAGUGGUUCGGACAAGGAUUUUAUUUAUAUUGUUGGAAUUAUUAUUGGAUGGAGUUGAAGAAGUCCAGGGACAAAUAAGCCAACCAAG